GAUGAACGCUAGCGAUAGGCUUAACACAUGCAAGUCGAGGGGCAGCAUGGUCUUAGCUUGCUAAGACUGAUGGCGACCGGCGCACGGGUGCGUAACGCGUAUGCAACUUGCCUCACAGAGGGGGAUAACCCGUCGAAAGACGGACUAAUACCGCGUACACUUGGGAUAGGGCAUCCUGACCCAAGGAAAUGAAAUUCGCUGUGAGAUAGGCAUGCGUCCCAUUAGCUAGUUGGUGAGGUAACGGCUCACCAAGGCGACGAUGGGUAGGGGAACUGAGAGGUUGAACCCCCACACUGGUACUGAGACUCGGACCAGACUCCUACGGGAGGCAGCAGUGAGGAAUAUUGGUCAAUGGGCGAGAGCCUGAACCAGCCAAGUCGCGUGAAGGAUGACUGUCUUAUGGAUUGUAAACUUCUUUUAUACGGGAAUAACAAGAGCCACGUGUGGCUCCCUGCAUGUACCGUAUGAAUAAGCAUCGGCUAACUCCGUG
rnacentral:rRNA from 1 species